rnacentral:rRNA from 1 species
UACAGAGGGUGCAAACGUUGUUCGGAAUCACUGGGCUUAAAGCGCACGUAGGUGGUUCGGUAAGUGCGAUGUGAAAGCCCCCGGCCCAACCGGGGAACUGCAUCGCAGACUGCCGAGCUUGAGAGUGGUAGGGGAGACUAGAACUCCUGGUGGAGCGGUGAAAUGCGUAGAUAUCAGGAGGAAUACCGGUGGCGAAGGCGAGUCUCUGGUCCGCUUCUGACACUUAGGUGCGAAAGCUAGGGGAGCAAACGGG